rnacentral:rRNA from 1 species
UACGUAGGUCCCGAGCGUUGUCCGGAUUUAUUGGGCGUAAAGCGAGCGCAGGUGGAUUGUUAAGUCAGUUGUGAAAGUUUGCGGCUCAACCGUAAAAUUGCAGUUGAAACUGGCAGUCUUGAGUACAGUAGAGGUGGGCGGAAUUCGUGGUGUAGCGGUGAAAUGCUUAGAUAUCACGAAGAACUCCGAUUGCGAAGGCAGCUCACUGGACUGCAACUGACACUGAGGCUCGAAAGUGUGGGUAUCAAACAGG